UACGUAGGGGGCAAGCGUUGUCCGGAAUUAUUGGGCGUAAAGCGCGCGCAGGCGGUUUCUUAAGUCUGAUGUGAAAUCUCGUGGCUCAACCGCGAGCGGUCAUUGGAAACUGGGGAACUUGAGUACAGAAGAGGAGAGGGGAAUUCCACGUGUAGCGGUGAAAUGCGUAGAUAUGUGGAGGAACACCAGUGGCGAAGGCGACUCUCUGGUCUGUAACUGACGCUGAGGCGCGAAAGCGUGGGGAGCGAACAGG
rnacentral:rRNA from 1 species